rnacentral:tRNA from 1 species
GGACGCCCGGGGUGUCCUGGGUGAAGGUGCGCCGGGCGGAGGUGCCCAGUCCGCCGGGGCUGCCCGCGUAGGC